UGUCGAUGAUGCUUUAAAAAUAUUUGCUACUCUUGAAAAUCAAUGACGACAUCUUAAUCACCAAGAUCUCUGAGACG
rnacentral:snoRNA from 1 species